UCUGCCGCCAAGCAGGAGUGUUUAGUCACUGUUAUGUUCAGAGGCGGCUUUACCUAUCGUGCUGGGUGUGCGGUGCACACAGGUGCCGAGGGCCGCUCGCGACCAAACAACCUGCGCCCGUGCUAAGGCUGGCGAGCUGCUUCUUUACUUUACACAAUAACUUUUCAUUUAAUAUUAUAAAAUUUAUUAAAGAUUACAUUGUCUCUUAGGAUGCGCAAAGGAAUUGAUUGCACACGGUCGGCACAUGAGCUGAUGGUGUGGGGUGGGGUCUAAUAGAAAGUCGACUGACGAGAAAUGAUUACCGCUCGACAGUCGACACAACUUUAAAUAGCAGUCUGUUGGAGCCAGAUAUACACAGGCUAAUUUUGGAACGCGACUUACGUUAGCUACUAUGGCGGGUUUUAACACCUUGUGUACAGUGCUUGCUAUACAGGCAGAUAUAGAUCAUAGCCUACCGCCAGCAACUUGUAUGUCUAACAAGUAUUAAUAUGCUGCUGUUAACCUUAUCAAAAACUAGUUCUUCAUACAGUUGUAAUAGAGAUCUACAUACCUUCCCAGGAUGACGUCGCCAUGUGUAACGACACGCGCGGGACACUUUUUGCCCUUACAGUGUCCGUCUACACACUGCCAUGUGCGCUGGCCAUUCUUCCUUGCAGAAUAUCUCAGGUUGUACACAUAUCGAUUGAGGAUAAGCUGCAAAUUGCCAUGAUUCGACAGACUGUAUUGGACCGAAGGCUCUUUAAAUGAAAAAGUUGAAAGCUUAAUAGGACCUGAAACAAGAUAUUAAUAUAAUGCUUGAAAUACUAAGUAGAUGUUAAUAAAACUAAGAUAGACAAAACCUAGAUUAAAUGUUUAAUAUAUAACACAUGAACAAAGUGUUUUUUAUAUUACUAGACUUUAAGAAGUGCCUAGAACAUUACUCUUAGUUGUAAUAAAGUUAAAGUAAUUUAGUA